rnacentral:rRNA from 1 species
UACAGAGGGUGCGAGCGUUGUUCGGAAUCAUUGGGCGUAAAGCGCUUGUAGGCGGCUUGUUAAGUCGCGUGUGAAAUCCCUUGGCUCAACCAAGGAAGUGCGCGCGAAACUGGCGAGCUCGAGUGCCGGAGAGGGUCGCGGAAUUCCCGGUGUAGAGGUGAAAUUCGUAGAUAUCGGGAGGAACACCAGUGGCGAAGGCGGCGACCUGGACGGACACUGACGCUGAGACGCGAAAGCGUGGGGAGCAAACAG